AUUCUUCAUCUCAUCUGACGCCUUAACAAGAAAAGGUUUCCAGCAUCUGCGAUGCUGUUAGACCUGCUGAGUUUUUCCAGCAUUUUCCAUUUUUGUUUCUGAUGACAUCACCAUUGCUGGACACCUGAGAUCCCUUUGAGCUGAGGCCAGAAUGAAAGUAAUGGCUGGAAAGGUGAAAUCCAUGCCACGGGGAUUGUUGGAUCUUUGUUCUGUGGCAGUUUCCUUCAAGGUCAGCGGCGAGAGCCAUCACUUUGCUGCUGACUGCAACAUCCAGGCCAUUAAUCAUCCCACCAGUUAAGCAACAGAUGGAAAGGAGAACUCUGUCUAAAGUGUCUACUGCUGAUUUGUGAUUACAACUCUGUGCUCUUGCUUUAAACAGAUAAUUGUAUCAACAUCUAAAUGCUAUUUAGAUCCCUUGACACUAUUUGAAGGAGAGCAGGAGAGUUCUCCAAAAUCCUAGGCUUUCUAUGUUCCUCAAAUAAAAUCACCAGAACAGA